UGACUGGUAUGAGUAUCAUCUUUGAGGAAAAUGCCAUUUCAUGCUGAAAUAGCAAUAACACUUCGCUAGGAUGCAUCUCAAUCAGAGAAUGUGAGCGGAGUUGAGCGGUCGGAAAUCCCGCUCAUUGAGUGGUGAAAAAAACUGCUGCUCCAAAUUCACAUAUAUUGUCUGUGACUUACUAAGAAUUACAUUCAAAUUAAACAAAAAAAUAACUUAUUAGGCUCCAUCUACAGUCCCUUUGAAUUCAUUUUUAGAAACAUGAGUUUGGCCUGAGUCACUGCUUUCAGGCUCAGGUGCCUGGAGAGCAAGCCAGCAGCGGGAGAAUAUGCGCUCAGUGCUUGCAGAGCCACUGGGAACGCUAAACACCCUUGGGACACUCUUGCCAUGCUGGGCAGGGAUGAGUGUGUGUUUUUUUCUGUAGGUAGACCUAAAGGAUUUUAGAUAAAAUAACGCUAUCAAAAUGGAAAUAUCUUUGAAAGAGGUAAUAUGCCAGGCAUAUUGAGCCAAAAUCAACGAUGGCCUAUUGUAUAGAACGAAAAUUAACUAAACUUUUAAGAGAUCUGAUUUUCACUUUAAACAAUGACCAACUUAGCUAGCUACCCAUCUCGUUCCUUUCUGCUGUGCCUGGCAUACACUGAGCUUGUGAAGUGAGCGCUACUGGAGCGAAAUUGAGUGGGCGAGAAUGCCAACGUUCCAGCCCUUGGGAAACUUGCUCCAGUAAAAUUGGGCACGCUCCACUCCUUGCUCCGAUCCGCUCACAUACUCUGAUCUCAAUAAUCUAGAACAAAAGCCAGGAGACUGUAAAGAUUCAGUUUUCCCAUCCCUUCCUUAGAAGGGUUGGCUUUGAGACAUUUCCUGUUAUGGAAGGUAUAGGGGGAUAUGGCUAUGGGAGAGUCCACAUGACCAUUGAAUUAAUUAUUUUAACUGGUCUUAGUCACGCUUUGCACAUGCUCACAAGUACACCAUGCUAACCAGGAAGUGUGGUCUUCAAGCCAAAAAUAGACAGGGGUCACGGGGGAGAUCGAUACAUGGUAUUUCACAUAGGCUUAAUCAUUACAGUGUAUCGAUUAAAACUUUCAGGAAGUACCAUCAUGUCACAUUGUGGAGGAGAACAAUAGAGGGUGUUUUAGAGAGUUACAGAGAAAUUCUGUUGUGAAAUUCUGUUGUGACAGAGUAUCUCCUGUCCCCACCUGAGACCACACUUUCCUGGUUCAGAUACAUUUCCUCACUGACAUCAGCAGUUCACUCCUACUUUGAUUCUAAUCUUAUUUUUGAUGAAUAGGCUUUAUAAUCAUUUUCCCGCUUAAGACUUAUAAUAAUAUGAGUGAAAUAUUUUAGGCAAAAUGUGUCUCACCUCAGUGGGUAAUUGUUUAUUUUUGUCUCUCUCUUUAUGUGAGGGACAUACCAUUUUAUUUGAGAAUGUGUCAGGUAUGCCACUGACCCAGCCAUUUGCUGCUGCUAGUUUAAUCUGGUGACGUGCGACUUUGUCAUGGAGUUAUUAUUUUAUUAAUAAAGACAGAGUAACCAUUGCAAGGGUGACUGGCCAACACACCUUACCUUACCUGCCCACAAGAGAGCCAUCAGGGCUUAGAGAGAAAUACAUGGAGGUGUUAAGAUGCCCUGCAGCCAUUGUGUAGUAUAUCCAAGCUGGUUAGUUUAGUUAGAAGGUGAAAAAGCAUUGUGAGGGAGAGAGCAUAGUGGUCUUCAAGACAUUUGUCUGUGCAUAUGAUUGUGAUGAGCGAUACAUAACAGGACUAAGCACAAGCAGUGUUCUGUAUUAAUUAAUUAAGAAGCGAUGACCACAUCGAAUCAUGUCAUGUUUUUUUCAAUGUGGUUUGUAUUUGUAUUGAAACACUAAUGUCAGCAGUGUACAUAACCCUCUUGUGACUGGGGAUCAUGAGGAUAGCUGGGAAAUAUAUUUUGUAAACCACCAUUCUGGAGUCAUUGUAGAUGUGACAUUUUCAGUCUAAUAAAAAGCAUGAGCUGGCACAUACCCAGAGAAAAGUAUUUCGUUGUCGAGGUGCUGCCUAAAGGGGUAUAAACCGUAAGCUAUGAAAACAAAGACAGUCGCACCCAGAAGAAGGCAUUGGUGAUGCCAAGACGUUGGUGUUUUUUUAGCCAAUAGAUUACUGGGAGGUUAUAUAUAUAUAUGGAGUAAAAACAUGAUCAUGCCCCAAUAUUCCUUUUCAGUCUUAAAGUAACUGCCCAGUCAAAAUGUCACUUUUAAAAGUUAAUAUUCUGUCAACCUGUAUUGAAAUAAUGUUGUUGACUCACCCUAUACCUGUAUUUGUGGCCAAAGCAUAAAUAGGAGAAAAAAAAAACAUUUGUAUCUCAGACCGUUUCAAGAAUGCUUGCUAUUUCCUCAUAGAACAUGAUGUCAUCUCCCUGAAGAGGAUGAGCUAGCCAAUCAGCGGUCUAGAGGAGGAUGAGCUGGCCAAUAUGCGGUCUACUUGCGUGAAUAUUUUUUAUGACCAUUCUGUUGUUGGAGUACGCCCACACCAUUCCAACACAGAAAAUCAGCUUUUUAACAAACUUAAUUUAAAAAAUGUCAAGGAAAACUAUUUCACUCAUUGUAAGUAAUUAUAGGCCAUAUUUCAUAAACAUUUGGAACACUGUGCAGUUACUUUAAGAAAUAGGGUGUCUUAUAGGAAUAUCACGUCGUAGAACUACACUGAACAAAAAUAUAAACGCAACUAAAUGUAAAGUGUUGGUUUCAUGAGCUGAAAUAAAAGUCCCAGAAAUUUUCCAUGCGGACAAAAAGUGUAUUUCUCUCAAAAUUUGUGAACAAAUUUGUUUACAUCUCUGUUAGUGACCAUUUCUCCUUUGCCAAGAUCAUCGAUCCACCUGACAUGUGUGGCAAGCUGAUUAAAUGCUUGUGCUGGGAACAAUAAAAGGCCACUCUAAAAUGUGCAGUUUUGUCACACAACACAAUGCCCAGAUGUUUUGAGGGAGCGUGCAAUAGGCAUGCUGACUGCUGGAAUGUCCGGCAGAGCUGUUGCUAAAGAAUGUCAUGUUAGUUUCUCUACCAUAACCAGCCUCACAACCGCAGACCACAUGUAAGGCAUUGUGUGGGUGAGUUUAUGCUUAUGCCAAUGUUGUGAACAGUGCGCUCCCGUGGUGGGAUUAUGGUAUGGGCAGGCAUAAACUACGGACAACGAACACAACUGCAUUUUAUUGAUGGCAAUUUGAAUGCACAGUGAUACCGUGACGAGAUCCUGAGGCCCAUUGUCGUGCCAUUCAUCCAUCUUAAUCACCGCAUGUUUCAGCAUGAUAAUGCACGGCCACAUGUCACAAGGAUCUGUACACAAUUCCUGGAUGGUAAAAUUGUCCCAGUUCCAUGGCCUGCAUACUCAACAGACAUGUCACCCAUUGUGCAUGUUGGAGAUGCUCUGGAUCGACAUGUACGACAGCAUGUUCCUCUUCACACAGCCAUUGAAGAGGGGUGAGACAACAUUCCACAGUCUACAGCCUGAUCAACUCUAUGUGAAGGAGAUGUGUCGCGUUGCAUGAGGCAAAUGGUGUCACACCAGAUACUGACUGAUUUUCUGAUCCACGCCCAUAAUUAUUUUUGAAAGGUAUCUGUGACCAACCAAUGCAUAUCUGUAUUCUGAGUCAUGAGAAAGCCAUAGAUUAGGGCCUAAUGAAUUUAUUUAAAUGGACUGAUUUCUUUAUAUGAACUGUAACUCAGUAAAAUCUUGUUGCAUUUAUAUUUAUGUUCAGUAUAUGUGACACGUUGUGUCUGGAAUCUCAGAUCAUGUGCCAUAACUUAGUUUACGACACAGCCAUAUGCAAGUAGCUCGGAAAGCUGUUUUUUGUGUGAAGAAGAACCAUUUUUCCAGCAAAAAAAUGAAUAUUUUGAAAGUACACCAUUUUUGUUCUCAUCGGCCUUUACUUUGUAUUUCUGUAUGUCCUAAUAUUUGUUUAUAAUGUUGCACUGAAGAUCUGUUGCCACUGCAAUGGGAAAAUGUGUUAACUUCACUGUCACAUUGUCUCUGCUAAACAAACAUGUGUGUGUGUGUUUCUGUGUGUACAUGAGUGUGUUUGAGGAGAUUGAGGACAAGCAGAUUGUCUUUCAGGUGGUGGAGAGUCAUGUGGGAGAGGGCGUGAUCCUCAGUAGCUCCACCUCCGGCCUGUUGCCCAGCAACGUCUUCUCCCGGCUCCAGAACCGGAAGCGAUGCAUCAUGUCUCAACCGGUCUGGAGGGCUAUCUCCAGUGCUACAGAGAGGGCAUGAGGAGUGUUCUGAUCGCUUUUGGACCUGUUCCCGAAUUCUCUGGGGAGGCAGCCAAGUGCAUCAACAAAGAGAUGUGUGAGCUAACCCGCAGCACCUGUCUGCUAGGAGAGAGAUGAGGGAUCAGCUCCUCAUCAGCUCCCCAAGCUCAAGAAGUGACCACUGGAUUAUCAACACCACUGAUGUACAAGAUGGAUUUGUGUCUGGGACUCUUCUGUCCAUCACUCAGGCCUUCACUGACCCUCACUCAGCCUGAGGAGCAUGGUGAUGAGAAUGAUCUGAUCUCUCAAUGGUCCCUACACUGGGGAUGGUAAUGAAUACUGUAGCCCUGAGUCCUCACACACAAUCGCUCAACUAAUCUGGGAUGUUACUGUAGGAGCCCACACACACAAUAAACCAAUCUGGGGAUUGAUUGCCAUGCCUUCUCAGAAAUAUAUCCAUGUUUUAUGCAAUCAACAAGUUGAUGAUCAGACAAAGGAAGUAAUGGUUUGGUCAUACCACAAUGGUUUCUUGAAUUGUGAAUAUGAAUUGUUAAUGUGAUAAACUUGUUUAAUGAUUAUUAUUUUUUUAUUAUUAAAAUGUUGAAUUUCUCUAGGAUUGCAAUACAUUUGAAUUGUCCUUAUCAAGAACUAAAGACAAACAUAUGAAUUGAUUGAAGAUACAUCAUAGGGUUUUUCAUAUUGUGUUACGUCACAUUUUGGACAGCUAUGAUUGGGAUCUCUGUUAAUAUUUUUUUGAUGUUCAACCCAUUUAUCUCCCCUCUUCCGUCAUGCCUACAUUUGUUCUGGUGAUCUUGUGACUCGUGAUGACUAUGUACUUUAUACAGUAUGCUUGACCAGUAAUUAACACCGAAUUCAAGUGUCUCGAUCUGACAACAGUACAUUUGAAGUUAAUGUGAUCACAGGGUGUGUUCAGUGAAAUGAAACGUUCAGAAUGUUUAAUCAUACAGAGCGAAAAGUGGAGCGAGUUUCCCAAAAGCGGGAGCAUGGUCCUUCUCGCCCGCUCCAGUUUCUCUCCAGUAGCGCUCACUUGACGAGCUCAGGGCAUUGCCGGCCCAGCAUGCAUUUGUAGUCGACGUGUGCUUGCUAUAGUCCUUUGCUUUGGCUACUGUCAUUUAGUAUGCAAAAUAUUUUCAUAAAGAAACUGAUAAAACACACAGGUGAAAAAUCAAGGUGACUUACAAAGAUGAGGAGUAAGUGCUGUGUUGUCUUAAAUAUCUCUUGUCGUGAUGGGUGUUUUGUUUUAUAUUUGUAUUUUUAAUCCCAGCCCCCGUCCCUGCAGGAGACCUUUUGCCUUCUGGUAGGCCGUCAUUGUAAAUAAGAAUGUGUUCUUAACUGACUUGCAUAGUUAAAGGUAUACAAAAAGAGGGAGUGCGGUGAACUGAAGAAUCGUUGUGGAAUCUGAAAAGAAAGUUAUCCCGAAAGCCUUUAUCGUGUACGUGUUACGUGCAAAUGCUAACAGAAUGAAACGAGAUGGGUAGCUAGCUAGAUGUGUCAUUGUAGGAAAGUAUUUAUAAACUAAAAUCAGAUAAAGUUAGGUUAAUUUUUUUCUAUUAUCUAUACAAUAGGCCAUCAAUGAAUUUUGGCUCAAUAUGCCUGGCAUAUUAACGUUACCUCUUGCAAGGAGCUUUCCGUUUUGAUAGGGUUAUUUUACCUAAAAUCCUUUAGGUCUACCUACAGAAAAAAACACACUCAUCCCUGCCCAGCCUGGCAAGAGUGUCCCAAGGGUGUUUAGCGUUCCCAGUGGCUCUGCAAGCACUGAGCGCAUAUUCUCCCGCUGCUGGCUUGCUCUCCAGGCACCUGAGCCUGAAAGCAGUGACUCAGGCCAAACUCAUGUUUCUAAAAAUGAAUUCAAAGGGACUGUAGAUGGAGCCUAAUAAGGCCCUUUUCGUUUCAUUUGAUUUUAAUUAUAAGUAAGUCACAGCCUAGAUGUGCAAUUUAUAGACUAUAAUGAUUUAAUACAACGAAAUGUUAUUUAAAUGCUAAGGCUUAAUAUCCGACAGCCUAGUGUGUCGCACUCGCAAAUGCUUUACGAUGUAUUGUAUUUCUUUGUAGACUAUAGCCGUGAAAUAAUAUAGCCUAGUUCCUUCUCAGGCUACUUGUCUGGCUCCUGACCUAUUUACAGUGUUUAUAUGCUGUUUAAUAUGACAUGUAACCUAUUUCAAAUGAUGACAACCUUUUCCGGAUGUUUAUUAAAAUACUUUUAAUUGAAAGCAUAA